CAGUCGCCACGGUAACACGAAGGGGGCUAGCGUUGUUCGGAAUUACUGGGCGUAAAGCGCACGUAGGCGGAUAUUUAAGUCAGGGGUGAAAUCCCAGAGCUCAACUCUGGAACUGCCUUUGAUACUGGGUAUCUUGAGUAUGGAAGAGGUGAGUGGAAUUCCGAGUGUAGAGGUGAAAUUCGUAGAUAUUCGGAGGAACACCAGUGGCGAAGGCGGCUCACUGGUCCAUUACUGACGCUGAGGUGCGAAAGCGUGGGGAGCAAACAGGAUUAGAGACCCCUGUAGUCCCUGUCUCUUAUAC
rnacentral:rRNA from 1 species